rnacentral:rRNA from 1 species
UACGGGGGGGCAAGCGUUGUUCGGAAUUACUGGGCGUAAAGGGCUCGUAGGCGGCCAACUAAGUCAGACGUGAAAUCCCUCGGCUUAACCGGGGAACUGCGUCUGAUACUGGAUGGCUUGAAUCCGGGAGAGGGAUGCGGAAUUCCAGGUGUAGCGGUGAAAUGCGCAGAUAUCAGGAGGAACACCAAUGGCGAAGGCAGCUCGCUGGGACGGUACUGACACUGAGACGCGAAAGCGUGGGGAGCAAACAGG